UUUUAAAAAGAAAAUUAAUUUACAUUGUAGCUUAGGUUUACAAAACCCUUCUCCUCUGGAAGAAAUAAGUAGCUUUCCUAGCACAUAUGAAGCCCAAGUAAUGGAAAAAAAAGAAGCCAUAAUUAGCUAAUGAUUUAUCUUACUCCCUUAAACUCUCCCUUUUAUUGGACUGUGGGAUUACUCGAUUAACUUUAGACUAAAAUCUCAAGUACCUCUUUCCUGUAGGUGUUUUCAACUAAUCUGACUCCAGUUUGCUAGCUAUGUUCGCUUAUAACAACCUGCUUUGCUGACUCCUGUGGAUAUAGACCACUCCUUGUAAUACUUCCCAACUGAAGUAUCACACUCAGAAACAUAUAGUCUUCCUAUAAAACCACCUCUUCUGAGACUACCAGCCAUUUUCACUCUUUCAAAAGCAGUCUGAAUCCAGAAUUGCAAUAGGAGGAAGGAGAAAUUCUUGAUUUCUUAUUGUCCUUUGAUGACACAAACUGAAAACUACUGAUAGCAUUUCAACCCAAAGUGAAGAGACUAUAGCAAGAAAAAAUAAAGCAAGGGAGGAAAGGACCAAAGGGGAAGGGCUGACCAUUUUUGGUUCAAAACACAGGUGCAGUGACUAUUGGAUCCUGCAGGUGGAAAAAGGAGCAGGUAUUAUUACCAAAAGUGAGGCUUUGCUCUACUUACUUUUCCCCUGUUGCAUUCAUUUCUCUGCCAAAGAAAGUUGCCAACACACCAUUCUACUCUACCUCAAGAACACUUCAGCCACCUCCGAUCGAAAGACUUUGCCAUUGAUUCUGUCCAGGUUAUUCUAUCUUUCAUUCAGAUGUUUUCUGCCUCUUGGGGUGCAAUUUGGUAGGUGGGAGGGAAGUCUACCUGUUCUCCCAACAACCAGCUACAACUUUACAACUUCAGUCUUCAACUUUACAAGACAUAUGUGAAUAUGACUGUAGAUAGUCCGUUCCUUGAUCCUGUAUGAAAAAGUUAAGUCACCAGAUUCAAAAUGGGCCAACCCCAGGUGAGUGUGCUUUUGCUGACUGAAUUUUUCAGUUGAGCAGUGUUUUUGCUGAGUGCUCGUUGUGGGCGGGGAAUGAGUCUACCAGUCUGUUAUACUGUACUCCCCCAAGUGCUUAAUACAGUGCUCUACACAUAGUAAGGGCUCAGGAAAUAUGAUUGAUUGAUUGUCUAAUGAACAUAGUGGGUGGGCAGGGUAAAGUUCACACUUGUUCCUGGAGGCACACACUACUAAUCUUGCUCACGAAUCUUCAGUCCCAGAAACCCCGGUGUUGCCAGACCACUGCGAUAUGCUGGAGGCUUGGCUGCCACAGGGAACUUUCCUUUUCCUCCUAAAGUAUCUUCACCUUCUGAAACCAUCUCCUCAUCCCAGAUUCCAGCAGAGUCUUCAAAAGGAAAGGUUGGAAUAAGGCAGAAAAAAUUCCUCAGUGCAUCUCCAAAGUCCUCCACUCACAUGAUCUUUGGAAGAGAAUGAUCGAGGGAUGAAUUCCAAAGGGACUUAAGUCUAGUUAGAGGUUAUAACUGUUCUUAACACCCAACAGUGAAUACUAAUGCUGCACAUCUACCUAUGCACUUGAGAACAGAGGAAGACAUUUUUGAACACUGAUGCAAAGGAAAAUAUAAUCUGAAGAUCCUAUAAUGUUGAAGGAUCACAAGCAUCAAGAUGAUGACCAUCAAAGCUCAGCUUCUAUGGGAUGGAUAUAUGAUAUGGAUGAAUGAUAAACUGAUGCCUGAGACAAUCUCAUAUGGAGACCUGAGGACCGGAACAUACUCCACAGUUGUCCAAGAGCAAGACACACUGGAGGAUGUAACACGGAAGCUGGAAGCCAGUUAACAUCUGCUUUUACUCACUGAAGAAACUCCCAGUUCAACAUGCCACAAAUGCCAUAAAAAUUUUUGACAAAUCAUUCAAGAACUGUCAUAUGGUGCUGAUCGCUGUGCCAGAUACUGCGCGCACCCAAGUAAGUGUAUGAGGUUUUACGGACCAAUUCUCAAACAGCACAGCACUUUGGAAGAACAAUCAACUUGAAAAAGACUGAGAUCAAGCAGAAGCCAGACACAACCUGCAGCCAAAGAUUUUUAUCAUUCAACUUGCUUCCUCAACUGCACAUUAAGAAAUGAUGUGCUGAUAACUAGAGCAAUAGUCAACUGGACAAAAAUGACCUAUAUGUUCUUCAGGACUUGACUGACUUGUGUCCAAUGGAUUGAAACUGGGUGGUGCCUACGUCUAAUAUCUCCUACCUAUUUCCUGCCUUCCGAUCAUGCUCCCAUCCACCUGGCCAUUCCCCGGAUUUUUACUUAAAACCUACUUAAAUUUCAUCUCCUCUAUGGAGGUUUCCUGAAUUGAGUAAAGGGUGACCCUGACAUGCACUAUCCCCCUAUUUAUGCCUUCCCGUUUAUGUUGCUGUAGGUUACUCUCUGCUAGAUUUUCAUGUCUCCUGCAUUUAGACAAAAUACCUUCAGGAUCUCCUUCUCCUGAAACCCCUGGCGACUAACAACUGUGCUAUGCCCACAGCAGGUACUCACAGGUCAUAUUAUGGUGUUGAUGAGCUUCCUGAGUGCAAUUUUUACAAUUAAUGGCCAGUCCAAUGAUUUAUAUGGGAGAUACCAUGACCUACUGGACGGGUUAUAAGGCUGGGAGUCAGGAGAUCCAGGUUCUAAUCCCAGCUCUGCCGCUGGCCUGCUGUGCAACCUUGGACAAGCCACU